rfam:Anas platyrhynchos breed Pekin duck contig120389, whole genome shotgun sequence.
CAUCUUACCUCAGGGGAGAUACCAUGAUCAGGCAGGUGGUUUUCCCAGAGCGAGGCUCAUUCCCUGCACUCUGGGUGUGCUGAGCCCUGCGAUUUCCCCAAAUGCGGGAAUCUUGACUGCAUAUAUAUUUUUUAAUUGUAUUGAAAGUUCUGUAACUGAACAGAA